UAUGCUAAUUAUGUCUCUGUUUGUUUCUCUAUUUAACUAGGAUUGACACAAGCUCCAGUCUAGAUCCAGAACACCUGAGAAGAGAAGAUGCCAACCCCUCAGAGGACCUCAGCCUCAAAACCAAAAAUCUCAAUGGCAGUGAAACUGUAAUCUUGACCUUUACAUUCUGUUAUGAUGGAGAAGAUCAGUCCGAGUGGGGAUUUAAGAGCUUUCCACUGCCUUUCCAUGCAGCAACAUCAUGCUUUAGCGAGGCCACUGUGCUGCUUUAUGGGCUGAAGAUGAUAGAUUGGACUCAGCGUUUGUUUAUAAUAGAACAGGGUAUUGACUGGGCUCUUGGCCAUUGCGUCUCACAAGCACUGGGUCUAUUUUAAGCAUCUUGUUUGUGCACAAACAAUUGACAUUCAUCAUAAGAGUGGAUUCGCAUGCAUUACAAAUCUUCCAAAUGUUCUAACACCUCACUGAGAUCCCCACACAAUGCAUUGCAGGUGAUUAAAUGCUCUAAAGAUUUCAUCAUCCAGGCAAAACCGCACAUACAUUUGCAAUUUUUGGAUUUCCAUCCUGUUUCUCUUUCUCUCUCCUCCACCGAAACACUUAAUAGAAGUUUUGUCUCGCUCAAUGAACACAUAAUACCUGCAUUUUUCAUAAGCUGAGAGAGGUUGACAGUCCUAACAUUAGUGAGUGACAGCCAACAAUACUGUACGAAACAUGCUUUUCGGUCAUAUGUGCAUCAGUGACGUGACAGACAACUUGUCGACUGCAGUUUCAUUGGUACAGCGCACAUCAAGAAAACUGGCUCAUAGACCUCAGGUAUGAGUCCUGAAACUUAAAAAGGAGUCGGUUCAGGUAUUGAAUUCAGUUGUCGAUCUCUUUCAUGUGAACGGUAUUUAGGACCUGAGACAGGAUUUACAGCUGU